AUGAGUAUGCGUUCUAUUAGUUUGUUGGUGAGGUAACGGCUCACCAAGGCUACGAUAGAUAGGGGCCCUGAGAGGGGGAUCCCCCACACUGGUACUGAGACAGGACCAGACUCUUACGGGAGGCAGCAGUGAGGAAUAUUGGACAAUGGAGGCAACUCUGAUCCAGCCAUGCCGCGUGCAGGAAGACUGCCCUAUGGGUUGUAAACUGCUUUUAUAUAGGAAGAAACCUACUUACGUGUAAGUAGCUGACGGUACUAUAAGAAUAAGGAUC
rnacentral:rRNA from 1 species